GAGGGUAUAGUUCAAGUGGUAAAGAGCUUGCUUAGCAUGCAUGACGUCCUGGGUUCAAUUCCCAGUACCUCCU
rnacentral:tRNA from 1 species